GCCCGGACCGGUACUGCCCCGGCCCCCGCCCCUAGGCCGGGGGUCACGGCAUCCGGGGGGACGCGCAGCCGCCGCCGCGGCCCGGGGCUCGGCGGUCCAGUCUUCUGCCCGUGGCGCGGCUGGAGCGGCGGCGUCGGCAACAGAUGAAGAAGACGAGGCUUGAGAGACGAAGGAAUGAAUGAAGGGUCUCACAGCUGUUAGAAGGGUUAGAUCUUGUAUUUGGACUCAGGUCUGCCUGCCCUGGAACUUGACUCUCCCACACCUGGUGCUGGGCACACUAGGAGACGUCACAAGGCUCAGAGAUGCCACCCUUCCUAGAACGGGCGCCGUGCCUCUCUUCUCCACACACUGCAGGGGAGACAGGCACUGUGUUUUCAGAUAAGUUCCAUGUGCAUCAGGGGCUCGGUGGGAAAGGGAGGACACACUCAGAUUAGGAUUAUUCAUGGAGGAUUCUCCAAAGAGGCUAUUUGGAAAGACGGAGGGAAUGGUGAAGGAAAGCACAAGAGAAAAUGGACAGAACCGUUACUUCCUCACGCCUGAAGGGGAUGGGUUACUGGAAGCCAGGAGGAGAGUGUGAUAAGAGCCACUUUUAGAGGAGCUUUCACCUUCAGGAGAAAGUCAGGGCCCAAGAAGACCCACAGGGAGGUGACCAGGGAAUGGCAUACUUGGACUACCCUCUCUUCUGUUCCUCCACUCUCCUGCCAGGGCUCCACAUUGGAUAAACCCCUGCAGGGGCGAGUGAAACUGCCACCCAGGUUUGCCUCCCAGGGCACAGCCCAUGGAGAGCUCUAAGGCAAGUGGCAGAAAACUAGCACAGGUGCAGUGCGUCUUGCAAAGCACCCAGCCUAUGCCGGCCCUGGGCUAGAAAUGGGAAGAGAGGAGACCAUGGCACUGCCCUCAAAGAUCUUAGAGUCUGUGGAGGAGUCAGGCAGAGAGAGGGGGUGUUCCCUUGGCAAAGGACUCCAUGAGCAGAUGCAGGCCAUGGGCGACGCUCCUGCAGAAGCUUUGGGGUUUGCCGCAUGUGCCUGGAAGGAGCGCGCCCACCUUGACAUGCCUCGCCUCCUGUUGCCAUUGACAACGUGAAGGCAAACUCCUGGGGCUGGGCCUUUUUCCUUGAGAUAAAAUAUGUAUAAUUCUCUGUUAUCAAAUGAUUAUUAAACAAAAUCUAAUUGAAAAAAUAGAAAGAAGAAAAGAUAAGUCAUUUAUCAUCCUGUUCUCCAAAGACAACUGUGAACAGCUUGGUGGAACUCCUUCCAGUGGCUUUCCUUGGAGCUUUGCCUCUGUGGAUGUGGAAAACCUUAAGACCUUUGUUGGACCAACUGGGGAAGAAUUUCUUUCCUGCUCAGGCUGCUCAGCUGAUAGAGUGCUGGCCUGGAGCAGCUGAAAGACACUUUGCUGCUUUCUGGAGAAUGAAGCCACUGGGAAACCACAUAGGAGGGAAGAGAGAGACAGCUUCUCGAUGAUGUCAUCUGAACACCUGGAUCCUGCUGUGCCUGGACUUGCAGUCCCAUUGUCUACCAAUAUAGUUCAUUGAAUUCAACUUCAGCUGGAUGUCAUUCAUCUGCUUCCAGAACUUGUGUCUAAUGCAGAGCUGAAUGCAUACUCUCAGAGUUGGAAGUGGAUGCAAUCCACAAAUCUAGCACCCAAAUUUCUUUUUUCUGUUCUUUUUUUUUUUUAAUUUGAGAUGGAGUCUUGCUCUGUCACCCAGGCUGAAGUGUAGUGGCGCAAUCUCAGCUCACUGCAACCUCUGCCUCCCAGAUUCAAGCGAUCCUUCUGCCUCAGCCUCCCGAGUAGCUGGAAUUACAGGCGUGUGCCACCACGGCUGGCCUAAUUUUGGUAUUUUUAGUAGAGAUGGGGUUUCACCAUGUUGGCCAGGCUGAUAUCGAACUCCUGGCCUCAAGUGAUCUACCCCCCUUGGCCUCCCAAAGUGCUGGGAUUACAGGUGUGAACCACCAUGCCCGGCCUCAAAUUGCUUUUACAGAGGCAAGUGGCCACCGAGUCUGUGAUUGGGAUCCUCCUGUGGAGACCUGUGGAGACUCGUGGCUCACUACCUUUGAAGGCAGUGUUAGGGUAAUCUCUCCACAUUUCCCUGCUGAAAGCUCUGAGUGUUAGUAAAUUCCUUCUCAUAUUAGCUAAAAUGUAUUUUCCUGUGCCUUUUAUUCACUGAUGGGGAAUACAAGCAUUCUUUUUGAGGGUGGCCAAUGCUAGUAAUUCCCUCCAUACAGUCAGUGAUGGAUAGAGUUAACCCAUGGUUGCUGCAUGUAGUACUGUCACUUGCUGUACCACCAGGACUCAAGUUGAUGCUCAACGCAACAUUCUUUUGCAGGGCCCUUGUCCUCAGUUUCCCUUCUUUUGGGGUGGGCUGAGAGAGACAGCUUAUUCAGCAUGAAGCUGUAGUAUCUACAGUUUAGCAAAUGUCUGCGGAGCCUUUAAAGCAGUUUUUAUCAUAAUAAAAAUAUUUUAACUUAUAACCCCAGAAAGAGAUAGGCAUGGGAGUCUUUAUACAGCACAGAAAUCCAGAUGAGCAUAAUUUGAAAGUCAUUUGAAUUGUAAUGAGUAUUUUUAAUGUAAACAGGCAGGAGGAAAAACUUGCUGGGUUCUCUUGUAGCACAGACACCCAGAUAUAUGUCUUUUGAUAGUGAUAUUAAAGUGUCAAGGGUGCAUAGGAGGCUGCAGAUGUCAGCGGCAUGAAUGGGCAAGGCAAUUUCUGUGGUUGCAGGCUGGAGGUUCCAGCAGGAAUAGAAAGGCAAUCUCUGUGCUAGAUGGCCCAGGGUCACUGCAAGUCUAGCUCCUAAAUGAAAAUCAGGGACAAGAUGUGGCCUGUAACCACAGUCACUGCUCUUCGUAAGGCUGGUGGAAAGGUGAACUGGAAAGGUUUUUAGGGUUAGGGAGAUACAGGAACUCCCAAACAUCAGGCACCUGAUAGCACUCUCCACCUAACAUCUGCAUUUAUAUUGACCUAAUGCAUCUGUUCAAUUUGUCUCAUUCUUUGUGCUCACACACAUUUAUUUGAAACAAAACUUUCCAUCAUUACUAUAGGUGAAAAUCCUUGAUCACUUGCCUUGAAUACAAGAAACCAUUAUUAAAUGCAAGCUAGAUAAUUUUGCUUGUCUUACAGCCAUGAGCCUUAAGUCUGUUCCCCCCACCCCCCCCCCCCCCCGCCUUUUUUUUUUGUUAAAAAGAUGAGCAAAAUGUGAGAAUGAUGCAAAAGAGAUCCUGGU
rnacentral:lncRNA from 1 species